GGUUCGGUAGGGUAGUGGUUAUCACGUUCGCUUCCCACGCAAAAAGGUUCCGGUUCGAUCCCGGACGGAACCA